rnacentral:sRNA from 1 species
UUAUUUCCAACCACAGAUAGUAUAGCAA